UACGGAGGGUGCAAGCGUUAAUCGGAAUUACUGGGCGUAAAGCGCACGCAGGCGGUCUGUUAAGUCAGAUGUGAAAUCCCCGGGCUUAACCUGGGAACUGCAUUGGAAACUGGCAAGCUUGAGUCCCGUAGAGGGGGGUAGAAUUCCAGGUGUAGCGGUGAAAUGCGUAGAGAUCUGGAGGAAUACCGGUGGCGAAGGCGGCCCCCUGGACGAAGACUGACGCUCAGGUGCGAAAGCGUGGGGAGCAAACAGG
rnacentral:rRNA from 1 species